CGUAGGGUCCGAGCGUUGUCCGGAAUUAUUGGGCGUAAAGGGCUCGUAGGCGGUUCGUCACGUCGGGAGUGAAAACUCGGAGCUCAACUCCGAGCCUGCUUCCGAUACGGGCAGACUAGAGGUAGGCAGGGGAGAGCGGAACUCCUGGUGUAGCGGUGGAAUGCGCAGAUAUCAGGAAGAACACCGGUGGCGAAGGCGGCUCUCUGGGCCUUACCUGACGCUGAGGAGCGAAAGCGUGGGUAGCGAACAGGAUUAGAUACCCUGGUAGUCCACGCCGUAAACGUUGGGCGCUAGGUGUGGGGGACAUUCCACGUCCUCCGUGCCGCAGCUAACGCAUUAAGCGCCCCGCCUGGGGAGUACGGCCGCAAGGCUA
rnacentral:rRNA from 1 species